GACGAACCGUGCGAACGUUGUUCGGAAUCACUGGGCUUAAAGGGCGCGUAGGCGGCUUGCCAAGUCCGGGGUGAAAUCCUCCAGCUUAACUGGAGAAGUGCCUUGGAAACUGGCGAGCUCGAGGGAGGCAGGGGUCGUGGGAACUUCCGGUGGAGCGGUGAAAUGCGUUGAUAUCGGAAGGAACGCCGGUGGCGAAAGCGCACGACUGGUCCUCUUCUGACGCUGAGGCGCGAAAGCCAGGGGAGCAAACGGGG
rnacentral:rRNA from 1 species